CCUUCUUUGGUAGACGAGACCUA
rnacentral:siRNA from 1 species